rnacentral:rRNA from 1 species
GGCCUAGGCGGUCAAGUAAGUCAGGGGUGAAAUCUGCACGGCUCACCCGGCAAACUGCCCUUGAUACUGCUUGACUCGAGUCCGGAAGAGGGAAGCGGAAUUCCGUGUGUAGCGGUGAAAUGCGUAGAUAUACGGAGGAACACCAGUGGCGAAGGCGGCUUCCUGUGUCGGUACUGACGCUGAAGCCCGAAAGCGUGGGUAGCGAACG